rnacentral:rRNA from 1 species
GACGAACGCUGGCGGCGUGCUUAACACAUGCAAGUCGAACGAAGUGGCGAACGGGUGAGUAACGCGUAAUCAACCUGCCCUUCAGAGGGGGACAACAGUUGGAAACGACUGCUAAUACCGCAUACUGAAGGAGGGGAUUGCGGCUGCUUCGCUGGUUGGGGGGGUAACGGCCCACCAAGGCGAUGAUCAGGAGCCGGGUGGGGAGGAGGGACGACCAAAUAGGGACUGAGACACGGCCCAGACUCCUACGGGAGGCAGCAGUGGGGAAACAUCCGAAAAGGACGGAAGUCUGGCGGAGGAACGGCGGGGGGGUGUAAACGGGCUUCGGGUUGGAAAGCUCUGUUAAGCGGGACGCGGUACCGGAAUAGAAAGCCACGGCUAACUACGUGCCAGCAGCCGCGGUAAUAC